UGCCCAUUGGCCCAGUGGUUAAGGCGUCUGACUGUUAUUGUACCACUACAAACAACAGCAAAAUCAGAAGAUCCCUGGUUCGACCCCAGGAUGGGCAG